UACAGAGGUCUCAAGCGUUGUUCGGAUUCAUUGGGCGUAAAGGGUGUGUAGGUGGCGCGCUAAGUCGGGUGUGAAAUUUCGGAGCUUAACUCCGAAACUGCAUUCGAUACUGGCGUGCUUGAGGACUGGAGAGGAGACUGGAAUUCAUGGUGUAGCAGUGAAAUGCGUAGAGAUCAUGAGGAAGACCAGUGGCGAAGGCGGGUCUCAGGACAGUUCCUGACACUGAGACACGAAGGCCAGGGGAGCAAACGGG
rnacentral:rRNA from 1 species